rnacentral:rRNA from 1 species
AUACGUAGGGUGCAAGCGUUAAUCGGAAUUACUGGGCGUAAAGCGUGCGCAGGCGGUUUUGUAAGACAGUGGUGAAAUCCCCGGGCUCAACCUGGGAACUGCCCUUGUGACUGCAAGGCUGGAGUGCGGCAGAGGGGGAUGGAAUUCCGCGUGUAGCAGUGAAAUGCGUAGAUAUGCGGAGGAACACCGAUGGCGAAGGCAAUCCCCUGGGCCUGCACUGACGCUCAUGCACGAAAGCGUGGGGAGCAAACAGGAUUAGAUACCCUGGUAGUCCACGCCCUAAACGAUGUCAACUGGUUGUUGGGGAUUUAUUUUCUCAGUAACGAAGCUAACGCGUGAAGUUGACCGCCUGGGGAGUACGGCCGCAAGGUUAAAACUCAAAUGAAUUGGCGGGG